rnacentral:tRNA from 1 species
GCCCUGAUAGUAUAAACAUUACACUGGUCUUGUAAACCAGAAAUGAAAAACUA